rnacentral:lncRNA from 1 species
AAAUACAUGGCCAUUUCCCUCAAAACAACUUAUUUAUAUAUUUACCGACUGUCCCUAGAGCAAGUGGCAAAGAGCUUGAUGGUUGGUACCCGAGACCCAAGUUCGAAUCCUAGUUGAUUCACAUUUUCAGCUAAGUUUAUUUCUAAAUGAAAUAAACGAAGCGGAUAGUAUACUACCUAUCUCUCAAAAAAAUAUAUAUAUAUUUACACAUUUUUGAUGGUUGAUAUUUUUUUUCUUUUUUCUUUUUUUUUUUUGAGAGAUAGAUAGUACACUACCCAUUUCGUUUAUUUCAUUUAGAAAUAAACUUAGUUGGAAAUUUGAAUCAACUAGGAUUCGAACUUGAGACAAAAUAGUUUCGUUUAUUUUAUUUAGAAAUAAACUUAGCUGGAAAUGUGAAUCAACUAGAAUUUAAACUUGGGUCUUGGGUACCAACCACCAAGCCCUUUACUACUUACUCUAUGGACGGUCGGUUGAUGGUUGAUAUAGUAUCCUGCCUUU